UCGCGUUGCUGUUGCUGCUGAUAGAUAUUCUGUUGAUAUUGUUGUUGUUGCUGCUGUUGAUGAUGAUUAAUGCGUGAUCUUUGUAUAAUACUGCGACUGACUUUGCUGAUGCUGUUGUUGAUACAUUUGCGGCGGCUGCUGCAAGGCUGGCGACCUCUGCGUUUGAAACUGAUUUUCCGGCUGUUGUUGCUGAUCUUCGUUGCUUUUGUUCGUCGUAGUCGACAAUAAGUUUUGUCGAGAAUAACUUUCGUAUGUAAUUCGGAUGAUACAACAAUAAAAGCAUAACACAGAACAUACAAAUAAAGAAAAAGAGAAAAACAACAAAUGUUAGUUUAAAGAAAACGCCAUGCACUGCCUCAGCUCCAUAAAAACUUUAGUAUAAUUGUUAAAGAAAGCAUAUCAAGCUUUAUUUACUUAAUAAACGGAAGUUGGAUUAAUUUUGUCUUAAAUACAUUCUGUUAUCUGGGCUUGUGUGAGCUCGAUUUAUAUUUCAAUAUUCAUGACAGAGUGUAGAUAUGUACGUAUACAAUCAAGACAAUAGAUUGGGUCGAGAGAGAGGAAGAGGAACGCGAAGAUGUAAACAUUAGUUGAGAUGUAACAUUUCAUACGAGAAGGAAGUCACGACAAGUGGAGGCAAUUUUAAAACGUAUUGUAGAUGAAACAGAGAAGCUAGCGGUCCAUCUAUUUUGCGCUGCAAGAAAAGCUUCGUCGUUCGUUCCCAUCGAUGUAUCAAAAAAUAUCGAUUAGCUCCGUUAUCGUUAGAGUAAACAAAUUUUUACCGCUGUGCAUUGCCAAGCGAUACGAAUACUUUUGCGCUGUUCCUACUUAUUAGCGCGUUCCAAAAAAAAAAAAAAAAAAAAAA